rnacentral:rRNA from 1 species
UCCGUAGGGCGCAAGCGUUGUCCGGAAUUAUUGGGCGUAAAGAGCUCGUAGGUGGCUUGUCGCGUCUGCCGUGAAAGCCCGUGGCUUAACUACGGGUCUGCGGUGGAUACGGGCAGGCUAGAGGCUGGUAGGGGCAAGCGGAAUUCCGGGUGUAGUGGUGGAAUACGUAGAUAUCCGGAGGAACACCAGCGGCGAAGGCGGCUUUCUGGUCCGAUUCUGACGCUGAGGCGCGAAAGCGUGGGGAGCGAUCCGG